rnacentral:lncRNA from 1 species
AUGACUAGGCGCGUUCAGGUGUGGCGUGCGGAUCCCGGCAGCGUGUCUGUGGAGCCUUGUGAGGUGCGUGACGGGUGGUCUCCCGGAGGCAUGGACCUGACGGAGCGAGAAGCGCUGCCUGGGUCGUGGCCGCAGCAGCAGUACAGCGCAGGAGUUUUGGGUGGCCAUCCUGGGCCGGGAGCCGCGCCGCCUGCGCGGUGGCAACUGAAGAGGUAGGUGCUGGGCGUUGGGGUGUGGCGGGCUUGGAGUGUUGUGGAGGUUGGUGUGCGUGGGGCGUUGCGGUUAGUUUUGUUGAGUGUGUUGGCUGGGCCCCUCGCGGUGUGGCAGGUUGUUGAGUUAGCGUUAGAGGUGGGGGUGCAGAAGGAGCACUAAGAUGUAGGGUUGAAGGCAGUGUUUGAGCGUGAGGUAUUGGGGAUGG